UACAGGGGGUGCAAACGUUGCUCGGAAUUAUUGGGCGUAAAGCGCGCGUAGGCGGCCACUUAAGUCGGAUGUGAAAGCCCCUGGCUCAACUGGGGAAGUGCACCCGAAACUGAAUGGCUUGAAUGCAAAAGAGGGUCGCGGAAUUCCCGGUGUAGAGGUGAAAUUCGUAGAUAUCGGGAGGAACACCGGUGGCGAAGGCGGCGACCUGGGUUGACAUUGACGCUGAGGCGCGAAAGCGUGGGGAGCAAAC
rnacentral:rRNA from 1 species